GCGGCGGCGGCGGCGGCUCUAGAGGGAGAGGUGAAGGAGGCGGAGGAUCUCUUUUCCUCUUCUCAGACCCGGGAGCGUCUGGGACGCGGAUCCCGGAGCUGGGGCGACAAGGCGAUUGCGGGGACCCGGGCUAGCUGCUGGCCACUGAUAUUCUACUUUCUGUCUCUAUGAAUGUGACUACCCUGGGUACCUCAGAUAAUCUCCCUGGAAAAGAAGACAUGAAUAUCUGCAAUGAUACUUCCUGAUAAGAAGUCGAUACAAGAAAAGGAAAGGAGAUUGACAGCUAGUGAGCAGAAUUUCCAACAGCAGGAUUUCGUAUUUUUUGCUUCCAACUGCACACUUCCAUUGCCCACUUUUGAAUCAGAGAUACCUACACAAAAUCCAGACAAGGCAAAAGGAUACUUUUCUUGUAUAUUUUUUGAGAAAUAUACAUCUAAUAAAAUCUAAGAAACGACAAUGUCCAGGAAACAGAGCCAGAAGGAUUCAUCAGGAUUCAUCUUUGAUUUGCAGUCCAAUACUGUACUGGCCCAGGGAGGGGCUUUUGAGAACAUGAAAGAGAAGAUAAAUGCGGUACGUGCAAUAGUUCCCAAUAAGAGCAACAAUGAAAUCAUCCUGGUUUUGCAGCACUUUGAUAACUGUGUGGACAAAACAGUACAAGCAUUCAUGGAAGGUAGUGCCAGUGAAGUACUCAAAGAAUGGACAGUAACAGGCAAGAGAAAGAACAAAAAGAAGAAAAACAAACCGAAACCUGCCGCAGAACCGAGUAACAGCAUCCCAGAUUCUAGCAAAUCAGUUUCCAUUCAAGAGGAAGAGUCUGCGCCUUCCUCAGAAAAAGGUGGUAUGAAUGGCUACCAUGUCAAUGGUGCCAUCAAUGACAGUGAGUCUGUGGACUCACUCAGUGAAGGUUUGGAGACACUUUCAGUAGAUGCCAGAGAAUUAGAGGAUCCCGAGUCUGCCAUGCUAGAUACGCCGGAUAGAACGGGAUCCAUGCUGCAGAAUGGUGUCUCUGAUUUUGAGACCAAGUCUUUGACUAUGCACUGUAUUCAGAAUUCUCAGCAACCCAGGAGUGCUGCCAAAUCUCUCUCAAGACCUACCACAGAAACUCAGUUUUCAGCUAUGGAGAUGGAAGAUGUUCCCCUCUCCACCAAUAAAAAGCUAAGUUCCAAUAUUGAAAAAUCUGUGAAAGACCUCCAGCGCUGCACAGUGUCUCUUGCACGGUAUCGAGUUGUAGUUAAAGAAGAGAUGGAUGCUUCCAUUAAGAAAAUGAAACAAGCCUUUGCUGAAUUGGAGAGCUGUUUAAUGGAUCGAGAAGUGGCGUUGCUUGCUGAAAUGGACAAAGUGAAAGCUGAAGCAAUGGAAAUUUUGCUCAGCCGACAAAAGAAGGCUGAACUUCUAAAGAAGAUGACUCAUGUGGCUGUUCAAAUGUCAGAGCAGCAAUUGGUUGAGCUCAGAGCUGAUAUCAAGCACUUUGUUAGUGAACGUAAAUACGAUGAGGAUCUGGGACGAGUAGCCCGGUUCACCUGUGAUGUAGAGACCUUAAAGAAGAGCAUUGAUUCAUUUGGACAAGUGUCUCAUCCAAAGAACAGCUAUUCAACCAGAUCCCGAUGUAGCUCAGUUACAUCUGUGUCCUUGAGUAGCCCAAGUGAUGCCUCUGCUGCUUCCUCUUCCACCUGUGCCUCUCCUCCCAGCCUUACAAGUGCUAACAAGAAAAACUUUGCACCGGGAGAGACUCCUGCAGCCAUAGCAAACUCCAGUGGCCAGCUCUACCAGCCACUUCGGGAGGUAUUGCCAGGGAACAGACGAGGACAAGGCUACAGGCCACAAGGCCAAAAGUCCAAUGACCCCAUGAACCAAGGGCGGCAUGACAGUAUGGGUCGUUACAGAAACAGCUCGUGGUAUUCAUCUGGUUCCAGGUAUCACAGUGCUCCAUCUCAGGCACCAGAAAACACCAGUGAAAGAGGCCAGACUCACUCUGCAGGGACCCAAGGAACUGGAGUCAGCAUGGAGCCAAGCCCUCCCAUGCCUUCAUUCAAAAAGGGGCUCCCCCAGCGCAAACCCAGGACCUCUCAGACUGAAGCUGUGAACUCUUGAGAGAAAUUCCAGUUGGCCUCUCUCCUCUCUCCACACAAUUCAACUUGAUAACUGGACUUUAGGAAACUUAUAGUUAGAUUUAAUAACAAAAAGAAGUUUAUGUGUAUUGCUUUUUGUGCCAUUCUAAAUAUUGUUAGUUUCUUGUCUCCUUAUUUCCUCUUUACCAUUUUGGAGGAGGCUAUUUUUUUCCUUGAUCUUUCCCAGUGAUAUGGAUUGAAUCUGGUUGGUCAUUUCCACCAGGAAUCAGAGGCAGCUGUUACCAGGUUUCGGCCUUCCAGUUGACCCCUCCACUGUCCAGGCUGUCUCAGGAGGAGGUGAAUCAGAGCUAGUCUGUCACCUUUCCAAUCUAAGCAGAAGCCACAGGUGCCUGACAGGUUCCCUUCAACCAUUUGACCAAGAGAGGCAAUGAGGGGAUCAUACGCUGCACUGGAUUUGCCAGAGAAGGGAAAAUUUAAUUAGUGAAAAGGAAAGAACACUAGGAAACAUUUGAGAACCUGCCUCUAUCCCAGAACGUGCCUGAGAUUUGACACUCAAAUCAGUGUUUAGUCUUCUGCUUGGCACCAUAGCUCAACCUGCAGUUUCUUCAAAAUGCCCAAUGCCUUGUUUCCUAUUACCUUAGAUUGCAAACCAGUCUAGGGAAGUCUAUGGGAAAAUAGCAUUUAAUUAAAGUUUAAAAAAAAAAAAAAAAGAUUGGGUGCAGUGGCUCACGCCUGUAAUCCCAGCACUUUGGGAGGCUGAGGCGAGUGGAU